rnacentral:rRNA from 1 species
UACCAGCACCCCGAGUGGUCGGGACGAUUAUUGGGCCUAAAGCAUCCGUAGCCGGUCCUGCAAGUCUUCCGUUAAAUCCAGCUGCUCAACAGAUGGGCUGCGGGGGAUGACUACAUGGCUAGGAGGCGGGAGAGGCAAGCGGUACUUUAUGGGUAGGGGUAAAAUCCGUUGAUCCAUAGAAGACCACCAGUGGCGAAGGCGGCUUGCCAGAACGCGCUCGACGGUGGAGGGA